rnacentral:rRNA from 1 species
UACGUAGGGUGCGAGCGUUGUCCGGAAUUAUUGGGCGUAAAGAGCUCGUAGGCGGCUUGUCGCGUCGGAUGUGAAAGCCCGGGGCUUAACUCCGGGUCUGCAUUCGAUACGGGCAGGCUAGAGUUCGGUAGGGGAGAUCGGAAUUCCUGGUGUAGCGGUGAAAUGCGCAGAUAUCAGGAGGAACACCGGUGGCGAAGGCAGAUCUCUGGGCCGUAACUGACGCUGAGGAGCGAAAGCAUGGGGAGCGAACAGG